rnacentral:ncRNA from 19 species
CUCUUAUCGAGAGCUGGCGGAGGGACUGGCCCGAUGAAGCCCGGCAACCGGCCUCUUAGAACCCAGGUACGGUGCCAAUUCCUGCAGGAUUUCUCCUGGCAGAUGAGAG